UGGUUGUUACUUCUAAUGUGCAAAAAAUUGAGGAUAUUAGAUUGUGUCUUCUGUUUGUUUUUCAGAGAGAAUGUCAAGGUUCGUCCAAAGGUCUGCAUUUAGCUUCACCAGUGCAAGAACUGAUUGGUACAGCUAAAUCUUUUGGAGGUGAAGAAAGUGAUACCGAUACAGUUUCAGUAAGAAGAAAAUUUCAAGACAUUCACUUACAGAAUGUGUAUGUACGUGAUGGGAAAAUACAAGAGAAAGUAAAAGUGGAUGUGAUAGAUCAAGACAAUGUUAGAAAAA